UACGGAGGGUGCGAGCGUUGUCCGGAAUUAUUGGGCGUAAAGAGCUUGUAGGUGGUUUGUCGCGUCUGCUGUGAAAAUCCGGGGCUCAACCCCGGACUUGCAGUGGGUACGGGCAGACUAGAGUGUGGUAGGGGAGACUGGAAUUCCUGGUGUAGCGGUGGAAUGCGCAGAUAUCAGGAGGAACACCGAUGGCGAAGGCAGGUCUCUGGGCCAUUACUGACACUGAGAAGCGAAAGCAUGGGGAGCGAACAGG
rnacentral:rRNA from 1 species